UACGGGGGGAGCAAGCGUUGUUCGGAAUUACUGGGCGUAAAGGGCUUGUAGGUGGCCAACUAAGUCAGACGUGAAAUCCCUCGGCUUAACCGGGGAACUGCGUCUGAUACUGGAUGGCUUGAGAUUGGGAGAGGGACGCGGAAUUCCAGGUGUAGCGGUGAAAUGCGUAGAUAUCUGGAGGAACACCGGUGGCGAAGGCGGCGUCCUGGACCAACACUGACACUGAUGAGCGAAAGCCAGGGGAGCAAACGGG
rnacentral:rRNA from 1 species